AUUGAACGCUGGCGGCAUGCCUUACACAUGCAAGUCGAACGGCAGCACGGGAGCAAUCCUGGUGGCGAGUGGCGAACGGGUGAGUAAAGUAUCGGAACGUGCCCAGUCGUGGGGGAUAACGUAGCGAAAGUUAAGCUAAUACCGCAUACGAUCUAUGGAUGAAAGCGGGGGAUCGCAAGACAUCGCGCGAUUGGAACGGCCGAUAUCAGAUUGGGUAGUUGGUGGGGUAAAGGCUCACCAAGCCGAGGAUCUGUAGAUGGUCUGGGAGGACGACCAGCCACACUGGGACUGAGACACGGCCAAGACUCCUACGGGAGGCAGCAGUGGGGAAUUUUGGACAAUGGGCGCAAGCCUGAUCCAGCCAUGCCGCGUGCAGGAUGAAGGCCUUCGGGUUGUAAACUGCUUUUGUACGGAACGAAAAGGUUUGACUUAAUACGUUGGACUCAUGACAGUACCGUAAGAAUAAGCACCGGCUAACUACGUGCCAGCAGCCGCCGUAA
rnacentral:rRNA from 1 species